CGUAAGGCCUAUGAACAGAGAAUCACCAUUGACUGGGCAGAUGCAACCCUGUUAAAACCAACUUAUGAAUGCACAGGACUGAUUACACAGGAAGCUAUGCAGAUGGAGAAGAUGAAGUGCUCCCACAAUAUUAUCAACGAUAACAUCCCCAUGUGCUCCCUAUAUCAUGGAAAUGGUGUGCAGUCAACAACAUAUGAUUUAUACUGCAACUCCGGCCUCCAACAUGUAUAUAUUUUUUUUCAGAUUGCCAUGUGCGACAGGAAGGUCGGUCUACGACACUUGCCAGAAACGUACUAAUACUUUAACGUACCUUAUCGGCACUCUGAAUGUGGAGAGAAGAGUUAAGAACCGCCUAAUGAGGAAUAAUUUUUUACGUAUAUAUAAGAACUUUUGUGUGUGUGUAUAUAUAUAUAUAUAUG
rnacentral:lncRNA from 1 species